AUACGGAGGGUGCAAGCGUUAUUCGGAAUCACUGGGCGUAAAGGACGCGUAGGCGGGUUGGCAAGUCAGAUGUGAAAUCCUACAGCUUAACUGUAGAACUGCAUUUGAAACUGCUAACCUAGAGUAUGGGAGGGGGAGAUGGAAUUAGUGGUGUAGGGGUAAAAUCCGUAGAUAUCACUAGGAAUACCGAAAGCGAAGGCGAUCUCCUGAAACAUAACUGACGCUAAGGCGUGAAAGCGUGGGGAGCAAACAGGAUUAGAAACCCUUGUAGUCC
rnacentral:rRNA from 1 species